rnacentral:rRNA from 1 species
AGCAGCCGCGGUAAUACGGAGGGUGCGAGCGUUAAUCGGAAUUACUGGGCGUAAAGCGCAUGCAGGCGGCCUGUUAAGUCAGAUGUGAAAGCCCGGACUUAACCUCGGAAUUGCAUUUGAAACUGGCAGGCUAGAGUCUUGUAGAGGGGGUAGAAUUUCAGGUGUAGCGGUGAAAAUGCGUAGAGAUCUGAAGGAAUACCAGUGGCGAAGGCGGCCCCCUGGACAAAGACUGACGCUCAGAUGCGAAAGCGUGGGGAGCAAACAGGAUUAGAUACCCUGGUAG